rnacentral:rRNA from 1 species
CCUACGGGAGGCAGCAGUGGGGAAUCUUGCGCAAUGGGCGAAAGCCUGACGCAGCAACGCCGCGUGGGGGAUGAAGGCUCUCGGGUUGUAAACCCCUUUCAGCAGGGACGAAAUUGACGGUACCUCCAGAAGAAGCCCCGGCUAACUACGUGCCAGCAGCCGCGGUAU